rnacentral:misc_RNA from 1 species
UUUCCGUAGGUGAACCUGCGGAAGGAUUAUUAUUGUAUAACCGAGGUGCGAGGGCUGUCGCUGACCCGAAAGGUCGUGCACGCCCGAGUGCCCUCACACACAUCCAUCUCACCCCUAUGUGCACCACCGCGUGGGUCCCCCUUUGGCUUGUUCGGAGGUGGGCUUACGUUUUCACACAAACUUUGUAUGCAGUGUAGAGUGUAUUUUUUGUUUUUGCGAUCACGCAAUCAAUACAACUUUCAACAACGGAUCUCUUGGCUCUCGCAUCGAUAAGAACGCAGC